rnacentral:lncRNA from 1 species
CGCCGGAACUCCCUCCUCCGGCCACCAAUCCGGGCAAGCUUGGUAUGGUUUUGUAGCCCUCCAACCCAGCAGCCUUGCCCUAAAAGGACUCACUCCCUCUUGAGCUAGGUAAGGAGAAAUUUGAGGUGGAAGUUUUAUGGUGUUUUUGAUGUUUUUAGUCGAUUGCCCUAGUUAGGCUUGGAAUUGGUGUUUGUGCUAGUUAUGAAAGUUGUAGAGCAUGAUGAGAGGAUUAUUCUGUCAAAAUUUCAUAGGUUUUGGAGGUCGCCGGAAUUGGCCUCCGGCCGCCGCCGGUUAGGAGUAUUUUUAGGGUUUUAAGUGUGGAAUAUUAAGAGGAGUAUAUUGAUAUGAUUUAUGGAAUUUUUGGAUGAGAUUUGGAUAGGUUUGUGAAUUUCCGAAGUUUGGUAUUUUUGGCGGUUAAUUAAUGUAGAAUCCGGCCGUAGGAUUUAAGUCGUAUUUUGGAGAGGUUGUAUUUACGACUGUUGAGUAUGAUAUUUAAGUUCGGAUCGUUCCGAUUUAAGAAUAUCGAAGUUAGGCAAUGAUGAGCGUAUUUAUGGCUCUCGGGUAAUUUUGCCUAUUUUGAUUAAAUAUUGGAUUAUUGGUUGGGAAAUUAAUAUUAUAUUUGAAACAGGACGUGAGGAGGCUCGAGCAGACGAGACCCCAGAUCGACAUCAGGCUUAGGCCUAAUUUGUGAGUGGACNNNNNNNNNNNNNNNNNNNNUUUAUACACCCGUCUGUCCACCUUGAUGGCGUAGUGUAGCACCGCAUUAAGGCGUGACGUGAGCGUUGGACGCGAGCGUAGUAGCCCUAUAUAGACCUUUGAAUUUAUAUAGGGAGUAUGGACGAGUGUAAAUACAUACAUAUAUUAUAGAGUCUGAGAGGCUCGAUAUUUUAUGAGAUAAAAGUUUUAUCGCUUGCGGCAUGCAUUCGAUUUUUCCUUAGAAAUUAAUUUGGGGAAACAUAAUUAUUUUAUUUAUUAUUUUAUUUUUGUCCACUCACUCUAACGUUGUUAAAUGUUUUCUCCUGGGCCCUUCGUUUUAAAAUUGCCCAGUCUGCAGAGUUCGGGUUAGAUCUAGUAGGAGGCGAGGCAUAGUCACCCGCAUUUCUGCCAGUUUUCAUCAGUAGGUUACCUGUUCAACCUACUCGUGUUUUCUUGCUUCCGCUUGUAUUUAGUAGCUCUGAAUACUUUGGGAUUAUUGUAUAUUAUGUGAUGUUCGGAAGUGUUGAAUUAAGAGUGUAAUAUGAAAUUUUCGAGUUAGGGUUGUCCAUCUGCAAGGGAGAUUUUCUUAAUCUUUUCAGUAAAUUUUCCCUAGAGGUGGUCCCCGCACGACUUACUCCGGGUUUCAGGGUGAAAUUCGGGGUGGGUCGUGUCACUUUUGGUCUUGAGGGAGCCUAUGGUUUUGGGGUUUCCAAUUUUUGGACCAAAGACUUUGGGUAUGAGAGUUUUGUCCUAAUUUUUUAAUUUUUGACUCUACUACAGGACAACCUCACUAGAGCCUCAUGGAGUAACAAACUUUUUCUUAAUUUUAUUUUUGUUUUUAUAUAACCAAUGAAAUGAAAGCAUAGACGAGUACGUCAUUUUGGAACUUUUAAUUAACCAUAAGGCCCCUUAAGUGCCAUUUGUAUCUUCAAAAUUGUUCGUCUUUACAAAAAGUUAGUACAUAGUAGUAAUAAGACGACAAAUGGGCAUGUCCGAUUCAGGGUCGGACCUGAGAUUUAGAGACUUGAGGCGAGUUUUAUGAAUGGUGCCCUCUAAUGGGUCUAAGAUCCUCUUCCAAUUGAAUAUGUAGUGAAAGUACUAUGGACUCGAUUUUGAUGACUAAAAACUCGUAGUAAAUAAUAAAUAACACAAGAACACAGAGAAUUGUUUACUACAGUGUAAACCUCCUUAGAGGAAAAAUCACUGCGAGACCUUAUAGUAGUCCACACUUAAAACAACUUCACUAAGAAUAGAUAUAGAUUACACAAUCAUUCAAGUAGUGACAUACACCAUCGUCACUUUACAGGUAUUACAAACCAACUUGAUUUUCCAGAUUAUAAUCCUAUACUAAUUCUUGACUUCGUUGUUUUGAACUUCAACGUAGAGUCAAUCCAUCUGCAACAAACUUCAUACACUGAUCUAGAUCAUCAUAAGAGUUAGAUGCAAUGAUAUGAGACAAGAAACAUGAAAAGCUUUAACCAGAAAGGUGCGGCCUGCAAUGCAGCCACAAAACAAAUAAACCAAUGAAACCUAAUGAAAUAAAAACCGUAAUCGCUUGAAGGCUAUAGCAAGCAUAUAUAUAUAUAGGAGUAAGAGCUCCCCCUCAAUCAAAUCUCCAAUAGAAAUAUGAUUUGAGUUGAGUAAGGAAACUUGUUUUAAAACCUAUUCCAAAAUGCCAAUUUGUAUUCUAAACAACUUUGAAAGCAAGAUCAUUUUGAGAAUAAUAAAUCUGAAUUAAAAACAAAUUCCCUUAAAAGAAGAUGGCACAAAAUAACAAUACCUCUUAUUACCUCAAGUCGCAUCUUGAAGAUAGCAGGAGCGAUCGACUCCCCCUGCAAAUAUGCUUCUCCUAGUAUAGCUCGGAGAACUAGUUUGUUUCCUUCGUUUUGAUGUAAAUGCCAUAUACUUACAAUCUCCCCCUAUGGCAUUCAGAAUCAAACCUGGAUGUUUUGGACCUGUAGAACAAUACAUGCAUGAAAUAUAUAAUAACUCAAUCUCUCUCAACUCGAAGUUUGUGAACCAAGUUCCACAGAAGAAGAGUUCAAUGGUCACCGAGAUCAACAAGAAACAACUAAUCAGUUUAAGAACUUGGAAUCAAGAUCAUCAUCUCCCAAGUCUUAAGAUGAAACAAAAAUUUAUCAUUAACCAAACUUCAACAAUAUCCAAGGUUUGUGCACUAUGCACUUACAAGCCACAAAACUGAAAACAAGCAACCAAAUUGUUCAACAGAAACAAAGAACAUGAAGCAAGCAGAGUUUAACUAUGACAAAAACACACAAAACAUCCAAACAGCAGCUAGCAGUUCUCCCCCUUUGGAGUCUGAAUGCGAGCAUUAGGGCCUCCACACCACAUGAGCAUCAUCAUCUCCGUUUUGAGCAGGAGGAACAGGUUGAUGUUGCAUUGCUUAAAGAUCAAGAACAGAACCGGUAAGGGCACCAAGAGCAUGAUGGAUAGUGCGCAGCUCCAUAUGCAUUGCAUGAAAGCGGUUAGAUUGCUCACGUUGUUGAGCCCGGAUGACAAGUAAACAUUGAUAAAUCUUAUCAAGGGGAUCUUGAAGCAGAGUCGAUGGAGCAGGAGAGGCAGGACGACGAGAAGAGGAACCCUCAUUGAAGUAUGAAGGCUCCACUACGGACCUUCUCGGCCGGCGGCGACGAGAGAACUCAGAGGAGUUGUGCUGGCUAGAGUACAUGUUGUGACCGCGAGAAGACAUGAGAGAGAAAUCUGCACACUUAGACAAACACGUGAAACCUGUGGAUGGUAUAAAGAUGAAAAACAGCAGUCUCUUUUAUAUAGACAAUGCAACUAGGGUUUGCUUCUCCUAAGAGAACUGGAAAAGGAAAGAAAAUCUAAGACAAAAAAUCUUGAGAUUCCAAAACCGAUUUGAACAGAGAUUCGCACAUAAGCAGCGGUCCAAUACCAGAAGAGAUUAGAAAACUCAAAAAGGGAAAAGAAAAAUUGUGUCAAUCAGACACUUAUAACGUGUUGAGCCAAAUCUGCAUAAGAAUCUUUGCCGAAUAUAUGGUGAAGCAAGAGAGAUAGAAGACGAGACAUAAAGCUGUGUGAUGGACUCUAUCAACUUUAAUCAACUCAGACGAAACUUAGUAUCAAACCUUCAUAGGGUGUGUGUGUGCAAACAUGAAUAAAUCAUGGAUCAUGUAGAAACCAAAGCAUAGAACAUGAGAGUGACCGAGCUAAGCCAGCGAAUUACAAGUCACAAGUGAUCUUUCCUGAACAAAGUAGGAAUUUGAAUGAUGAACCAAGUAAGAUCUUUCAUUUGAUCAAUAACAGCUUAAGUUUGUGUUAGAAGACACAAUCCCAGUAACUCCCAGAGAACAAACUCUUAGGGUACUAAACAUAUCAAGGAUGUUCCAAGGAGAUAUCAAACUUGCUGUGUUUAUUUUCAUGGUUUCUUUUGCUGCUGUGAAUGUGAAACAUUGAGAGACUCUUUUGGCACGAAUUAUAAGUGUUUACCACAGCCAAAAUCCAGCUACUUCGAGGUAACCCAAUGCAAGCAGUUGCUCUUCCAACUUAGGAAUUGACAGUAAUUAAUUUUUUUUUUUUUUUUUGUAAAAUCACGGUAAUCUUAAACUUAGCUCAAAAAUACACAUCUCAAGACUACGAAUGAUUUAAAUGACACCACAGAUUAAUCACAGAUAUAAGUGAUAAGAAGUGAUAAUACUAAAUUAGACAUCAUUGAAAAGUCCAGAGGCGUCUCACAUGUACGAGUAUGUUAUUUCCUGCUUCAACAAUAUAACAACAAGGCCUUAAGAUCAGAAGCAAAACUCAACGCAGACAUAGUAUGAUUAAGGCAAUUUUUGGAUCCCAAGAGCAUUUCGUAACAACUGAAAUCUCUCAGUAUCAAGUGCUUUUGUGAAUAGAUCUGCUAAUUGUGAUUCAAUUGGGAUAAAUUGCAAAUCCAGUAUAUUUCUUUCUACCAAAUCUCUUAUAAAAUGAUAGCGCAGUUCAAUGUGUUUAGUCUUAGAAUGCAAUACAGGAUUUUUAGUAAUACUAAUGGCACUAGUAUUGUCACAAAAUAUGGUCAACUUACCUUGGCACAAACCAUAGUCUGUGAGCAUUUGUUUUAACCACAACAUUUGAGUACAACAAGAACUAGCUGCAACAUACUCAGCUUCAGUGGUGGAGAGAGAGAUGCAAUUUUGCUUCUUACUGUGCCAUGCUACCAGAUUAUUUCCUAUAAAGAAACAACCUCCUGAUGUACUUUUUCUAUCCUUCAGAUUUCCUCCCCAAUCUGCAUCUGAGAAUGCUGCAAUUUCUACAUUAGUUUCACAUGAAUAAAAAAGACCACAGUCUAAAGUAUCAGCAAUAUAACGAAUGAUUCUUUUAACAGCUUCCAAAUGUGAUUCUCGAGGGUCAGACUGAAAACGAGCACAUGCACCAACACUAAAAGAUAUGUCUGGUCCACUCGCAGUGAGAUAGAGCAGACUCUCAAUCAUGCUUCGAUACAAUGUUUGAUCGACUGUUCUUCCUUGUUUAUCCUCAGUAAGUUUCGUAGUGGUGCUCAUUGGAUUAGUCACAGUUUUCUUACUCUCCAAGUUAAAUUUUUUCACCAGAUUUCCUGCAUAUUUAGAUUGGGAAAUGAACAUGCCGUUGUCAAGUUGCUUAACUUGCAGGCCAAGAAAGAAGGUUAGUUCACCACACAUACUCAUUUCAAAUUCUGUUUCCAUGACUAGUUUAAAUUCAUUUACAAGAGAGUUAGAAGUAGAUCCAAAAACAAUAUCAUCAACAUACACUUGAGCAAUAAUGAUAUCAUGCUUAGUUCUUUUAACAAACAGAGUUUUAUCAAUGGAACCCCUUUCCCCCUUUUCUACCAGAUGAGAGGAUAACCUAUCAUACCAGGCUCUAGGAGCCUGUUUCAGACCAUAGAGAGCCUUCUUGAGUUUGUAGACAUGAUCUAUAUGAGAAGGAUCCUCAAACCCUUGAGGUUGUUUGACAUAGACUUCCUCAUUUAAGUACCCAUUCAAAAAGGCUGUUUUAACAUCCAUUUGAAAUAAUUUAAACUUUAGAAAGCAAGCAACAACAAGUAACAAACGAACAUAUUCUAAUCUGGCAACAGGAGCAAAAGUCUCACCAAAAUCAAGGGAUCCCUUGAUUUGUGAAUAUCCUUAUUGAGCUACUAACCUAGCUUUGUUUCUUAUUACAUUACCUUUCUCAUCACUUUUGUUCCUAAAAAUCCACUUAGUCCCUAUGACAUUGCAAUUUUCUGGUCUAGGAACUAAAUCCCAAACAUCAUUAUGAGUAAAUUGAUUUAAUUCCUCAUGCAUUGCACUAAUCCAAUUAGAAUCUGUCAAAGCUUCUUUAACAUUUUUUGGCUCAAUAAGAGAAACAAAACCAACACAGGAUAUCACAUUUAUAUCAAUUUUUCGUUCUUCAACAAAACAUAAAAGAACCUGUUCUUGGAGUUUUUCUGGAUCGGUUUUGGUAGGAAUAUCUCUUUCAUCUUGUGGAACUGACGCUGCUGCAAUCUGUCUCCUAGUUUUGAUCCCUUCUUGCACUUUGCCAAUGACAUCAUGAGGAGAGUGAUCCUUUUGGACUUGUUUGAAACCAGUUCGAAACUUAGGAUUCGAAGCAAAGAUGCCAUCAUCAUCAUCCUGUGUUUCAGACUCACCCUUGCUUUUCGUUGCAUCAAAAGUGACUUUAGAGACAUCACCUGCACAUUUUUGCUGAGCAUAGAGAUUAUCAUUUAUUGUAACAUUUAUAGAUUCCAUCAUAGAUUUUGAUCUAGUGUUAUAAACUCGAUAGGCACGACUAUUAGAUGAGUAACCUAAAAAUACUCCUUCGUCACUUCGCGCUUCAAACUUACCAAGAUACUCCCUGUCGCGAAGAAUAUAACAAGGACUGCCAAAGAUGUGAAAAUAAGAAACAGCCGGUUUCUUUCCUUUCCAUAUCUCAUAGGGAGUCUUAUCAGUACCUGGACGCAGAAAUAUUCGAUUCAUAGUAUAACAAGCAGUAUUCACUGCCUCAGCCCAAAUACACAGAUUCAAUCUUGCAGCAUGUAUCAUAACUCCUGCCAUUUCAACUAAAACACGAUUUUUUCUUUCAACUAUACCGUUUUGUUGAGGUGUAAAUUGGUGAGGAAAACUCAUGAAAAAUCCCAAAUUCAUGACAGAAAUUUGAAAACGCAUUGUUUUUAAAUUCUGUUCCAUUAUCGGAUCUAAUUCUUGAAAUCUUCAAGUUUUGAGAGUGUUUUUCAUUCAACAUUUUUAAACUAAGUUAUUUGAAAAAUUCGAAAGUUUCUGAUUUUUCUUUUAAGAACUCAACCCAAGUAAAUCUUGAGUAAUCAUCAACUAUAACCAAAACAUAAAACUUACCUCCAAGACUCUCUGUUUGAGCUGGUCCCAUAAGAUCCAUAUGAAGUAGUUCCAAUACCUGUUUCGCAGUUGCUGCAUUCACAGCCUUAUGAGGAACCUUGGUUUGCUUGCCAAUCUUGCAUUCUCCAUAUAUCUUCUCGAUUUGACCAGUUAGUUUUGGCAAUCCACGCACACAUCCUUUUAUUGACAGUUUCUACAAAUCCUGGUAAUUUAUGUGACCAAGUUUCUUAUGCCAAAGCUCCAUCUCUUGAUCUACAUGUCUUACUACAAAACAGUUUUUCGUAAACAAAGAAUCAAUAGACACAUUAUGGUAACAGUUAUCAUCUUCUCUAUUUCCUUGCAUGACUAUAUCCUUGAUUAUUCAAAACUACACAUUUUUCCCGAUUAAACCAAACGUCUUGGUACUCAUCAGUGAGUUGGCUAACACUGAUUAACUUAGCAGCCAACCCCACAACAUACAGAACAUUUUUUAGCUCAGGCAUCCCUUUAGCACCCACAGUUCCUCUUGCAAGUAUCUCAGCUUUCUUGCCAUCUCUAAAUGUAACUUUACCUGUUGUAUUUUCAUCAUCAAAGGAUAUGAACCAAUCCUUGUUUCCUGUCAUAUGUCUAGAACACCCGCUGUCAAAAUACCAAGUGUCUUUACGUUUAUAAGCAAGUGCGGUAAAGGCUACUAGACAAGUUGCAGAAAUAUCAUUGUUCUUUUUCCAAAGUUGUGACUUAUCACUCUUAGAUUGAUUUCUUUCAAAGAUUGUUUUGGAAAUAUCAUAUAUCAUUUGCAUUUGAAGUUUUAAAUUUCUUUCUAAAGACUCAAUAGAACAACCUGAUUUGUUUUCAAAGACUACUUGUUUCUUUCUACAAUUUGGUCUAAUGUGACCGAUUUGACCACAGUAGUGACAUCGAGGAAUAAACGUUUGCACAGUAUCAUACCUUGUCACAUCCCGACCAGUAAAUUUUUACCUUAUUUACUAGCUUGGUUAUAAUAAGAAUUUUACCGUCUCCGUCAUUGAAGUUAUAGUUUAAUUGGUCCCUAGAGGGGUUUCGGGGACGGUUAUGCUCGGAGGAUUAUUCGUAGGAGGAAAAUAUGACGACGGUAAAAAUGGUAAAUUUUAGCUAGUAAAAGGUAAUUUUUAUUCGGGUAUUAUUUUUCGGGGUGUUUUAUUUUUGGAGUUGGGUUUGUUUUAAAUGGGUAUUAAGUUGGACCGGUUUUGGGGGAGGAGGCCCAAAGCCAUUUUCUCCCUUCUCUUUUUUUUUCUUCCCGGUUUUCUCUCUCCCCGAGCUCCUCCCGCUGCCCGGUUUUCCGGCCGUCCUCCCGCCGCCGUCCGGCCACCAACCGCCGCCGCACCGGUCCCGUUCGGUCGACCUCCAACCCAGCAACCUCCCUGGACCGGUGAAAGGAGCCCUAGCUCCGCCGUGAGAGAGCGGUGCCACCCGAAAGGUCCGACUGUCCAAAGCUUCACUUCGCCAGAACUCCCUCCUCCGGCCACCAAUCCGGGCAAGCUUGGUACAGUUUUGAAGGUCUCCAACCCAGAUACCUUGCCCUAAAAGGGCUCACUCCGGUUCGCUUCAGGUAAGGAGAAAUUAGAGGUGGAAGUUCUAGGGUGUUUUAGAUUUUUUGCUCGUUUGACCUAGUUAGGCUUGGAUUUUGGGUUUGUGCUAGUUAGGAAAGUUGUAGAGCAUGAUGAGAGGAAGAUGCUGUCAAAAUUUCAUAGGAAUCGGAGGUCGCCAGAAUUGGCCUUCGGCCGCUGCUGCCGGCGGAGCCGCCGCCGGCGCCGCCACUGUUUGGAAGAUUUUUAGGGUUUUAAAUUUAGAAUAUUAAGGGGAGUUUGUUGAAGUGAGUUAUGGAAUUUUUGGAUGAGUUUUGGAUAGGUUUAUGAAUUUCCGAAGUGUGGUAUUUUUGGCGAUUAAUUAAUGUAGAAUCCGGCCGUAGGAUUUAAGUCGUAUUUUUGGGGAGCUUGUAAUUACGGCUGCUGAGUAUGAUAUUUAAGUUCGGAUCGUUUCGAUUUAAGAAUAUCGAAGUUAGGCAAUGAUGAGCGUAGUUAUGGCUCUCGGUUAAUUUUGCCUAUUUUGUUUAAAUAUUGGAGUUUUAGUUGGGAAAUUAAUUUUAUAUUUGUGCCAGGGUUCGAGGAAACCUCUCUGAAGUGGCGAUUUAGAUUUCGUCGGGCUUAUGCCUAGAGUUGUGAGUGGACUUUUGUUUUAAAUAAUAUGCAUGCUAUGGUUCAUGAAUAAACAAUUAAUGUCAUGGAGCAAUUUGACGUCAUUUUAAUUUUUGACAAUCUUAUUUCUCUUGGAGAGUUACCGAAAAUGGGAUUUUCGGUGGAUAUAAAUAUGUAUUUAUGAGAGAGAGUAUGUAUAUAAAAUGCUAGCUAGCCAUAUGUGUCUGUCCACCUUAAUGGCGUAGCAUAUAGCCGCAUUAUGGUGUGACGUGAGCGUUGGACGGGAGCGUAGUAGCCCUAUUUGAGUGUUUAAUUCAUAUAGGGGGUAUGGACACAUAUUUAUACACCCGUCUGUCCACCUUGAUGGCGUAGUGUAGCACCGCAUUAAGGCGUGACGUGAGCGUUGGACGCGAGCGUAGGAGCCCUAUAUAGACCCAUGAAUUUAUAUAGGGAGUAUGGACGAGUGUAAAUACAUACAUAUAUUAUAGAGUCUGAGAGGCUCGAUAUUUUAUGAGAUAAAAGUUUUAUCGCUUGCGGCAUGCAUUCGAUUUUUCCUUAAAAAUUAAUUUGGAGAAACAUAAAUACUUAAUUUAUUAUUUUAUUUUUGUCCACUUACUCUAACGUUAUUAAAUGUUUUCCCCUGGGCUCUUCGUUUUAAAAUUGCCCAGUCUGCAGAGUUCGGGUUGGAUCUAGUAGGAGGCGAGGCAUAGUCACCCGCAUUUCUGCCAGUUUUCGUCAGUAGGUUACCUGUUCAACCUACUCGUGUUUUCUUGCUUCUGCUAGUGUUUAGUAGCUCUGAAUACUUUGGGAUUAUUGUAUAUUAUGUGUAGAAUUUCUGAAGGAUAAUUAUGUGAUGUUUGGACGUGUGGUAUUAAGAGUGUAAUUUGGAAUUUUCGAGUUAGGGUUAUCCAUCUGCAAGGGAGAUUUUCUCAAUCUUUUCAGUAAAUUUUCCUUGGAGGUGGUCCCCGCAUGACUUACUUCGGGUUUCAGGGUGAAAUUCGGGGUGGGUCGUGUCAUACCUUGACAUGCUUACCUGGUUUGAAGUCUUCUCUUCAUCAUUUUUGUUAGGUUGAGAACUUAUGAUCGUAGACUCACCACCUUCAAUCCCUCCUUCUUCAUCGACUGCUUUGACAAACUUGGUUUUAUGCAUAUUUGGACGUGCAUCAGAAUAUCCAAGACUGGUUUUGUCGUUAAAUUUCUUAGAGAAGGACAACAUAAGUGAGGCUUUCUCAUAACUUAGCUUGAACUGUUCAAACUUGUUUAAAGCAACCUUCAGUUCUUCCUAUAACAGAGAGAUUUCGUUAUUCAAAUUUGAAUUUAACUCUUUUAAAGAAGUUACCUCAUCAGUCAACAAAAUUCGGUCUGAUUCCCAGGUUUCUUCACUUCCAAGAUUCUGCAGUUUUUCGACUUCCUUAAUCAGUUUUUCUCUUUCUCCAUCCCAAGUCUUAUGAGCAAUUUCAAACUGAUCUUCUAGCUCGGUCUUCUUCAUUUUAAUUUUGUUUAGCUUGGCUUCCAGAUUUUUAUUUUUCUUUAACAUAGCCUUUGAUGCUUUGUACAUAUGUGAGCAGCGAUACUCCAUC